rnacentral:rRNA from 1 species
AAGAUUAAGCCAUGCAUGUCUAAGUAUAAACAAAUCUAUACUGUGAAACUGCGAAUGGCUCAUUAAAUCAGUUAUAGUUUAUUUGAUAAUACCUUACUACUCGGAUAACCGUAGUAAUUCUAGAGCUAAUACGUGCUAAAAACCCGACUUUACGGAAGGGUUGUAUUUAUUAGAUAAAAACCAAAUGCGGUCUGGGCCGGUUAUUUGGUGAUUCAUAAUAACUUUGUCGAAUCGUAU